GUCAUCAGGGACAAAUAUAUGGUUUAUCCUAAGGGCAAAAGAACAUAUGUAAGGAUUUUAAAAAACACAUUUAAAGUGUUCUAAAGGAAUACUUGGGAUUUUUUUUUUGUAGACAAUAUGAAAAAAAUAGAGAGGUAAAAAAGGAGGGGGAAAUCAUUUAGUGUUCUACUACAUAAAGAAAACUCCUGUUAAGGUUCUACGCUGUUGAAAGAGUCAGUGUCUGGUUUUCUUCUGGUGGCAAUGUAGAUAAGAGACCAAAGGGGAACUGAACAUAAAGCAGUUGUUGCUAACACUUCUUUUUUUGUGUGCUGGAAGUUUGAGCAACUGCAUAUUAUCUACAGAACUCACAAGUAGGACUUCCAAGGUAUCUAAGAGAUCAGCCCCUUUAACUCCUAUGGACCGUUCCGCCUCAAUCUCCCCAAUUAAUCACAACCAUCAAGCCAUGCCUCAGAAACAAUGUGGGCCUCUGGCCCUGCAUCUCCAGAUAUCAUUCCCAUCCCUCCCAAAGCAGCUGAACCAACAUCUUUUGAGGCGACCAAAUGGUGGAGACAUCACCGGCACAUCCAGUGUCCACAUUUGGAUUUCAGCAACCUUCUCCUGACAGAUUUCUUCAGAAUAUCCACAUAGGGGCCUUCAUUCACAUGACGGCCUGAAGGGCUGCAGGGUGACAUUCCCACCACCCACUUAGGAGAACAUCUGGAGGAAUGGGAUAAAGGGCAUUCUUGACACUUCUCGACGAUAAAGACCACCAAGGGGCUAGGGAGAGUGUCCAGCGUGGCUUGAGGCCAGUCCAGUUCCUGGGUGAGGAGAGACUCAGUCUUCCACAGUGAUGUGGGCAUACAUCUUACCUUCACAUGGGGAAAAUGAUUUUCACUCUCCCUACCUUGCAGAGUUGUAGUGAAGAUUGAGUGAACUUAGUGUUUUGGAACAAUACAAAAUGCUGUGAAUAUGGAGAAAACUGGCUCCUUUUUGCCCCACUGCUCAUGUAGGUGUUGAAAUGUCAUUUAUACCCUGUACAAGUAGCUCCAGAUAUAGAGGCACCUGCAUGGAUACAUGAUAAGAUAGAUAGAUGGAUAGAUAGAUAGAUAGAUAGAUUGAAAGGUAGGUUUAUAUAUGGCUUUAUGUAUAUAUUUUUAUAUUCAUAUUUAUAUGUAAAAUUCUAACUUAGGGUAGGCAAAAUCACUCUUUUAAACCCCAAGCAUGCCUGUUCUUUUACCUAAACUAAUAGGCUCCAUCCCCACCUACCUUACACACUCUGUUGUUGAUCUCCUAGCUCUCUGGGUGGCAUUUCCAUUGGGGAAAAAAAAGUGAUGGAAGAAUCCCCUUGAAUUAGGACUCGAGAUAAACAACAACAAAGAGGCUGGAGGGACUUUAUCCAAACAUAUGACCCUUUGGGGCUCUGAAGCAGGCCAUUUGGUGACUGGCAUAUGCAACAUCCAUUCCAAAUCCCAUGGGUGACCUUAUUAGCAAGGGGGUGGGGUUGGGGGAGGUAUGUAACCAGUAUCAACCUCAAAACAAAAUAUUUGAUCAAAGUCUUUUGUAAUGAUCUGUUAUUUCCAGUCUUUUGACUCUGCCAGAUAACCUACUCUCUCCAGAUGGAGAAACACUUUUAGAUUGUGACACAUAUCAUUUUUAGUAUGCCCACAAUUGAGACCAAAUAUUUGUGUGAAUGAGGGUAGGGAUGAGUGUGGAGAGAACAUGCUGCAUCUCCUAAUGAAUUGAAUUCGACUAAUGUAUGCCAGCGCCUGUGCUGGGUACUGGAGAUACCAAGAUAAAUGAUAUAUCUGGUGCAAACAUUCUAGUGAUGCUUCUUGUAUUGUUGGGAGGGUUUGGUUUUUUGUUUUUUUUGUUUUGUUUUGUUUUGUUUUGUUUUUGUUUUUUAGUAUAACUGAGCCUGCUAAACACUCUACAAAUUGCUACCCUGCCAAAAUUCUGCCUGGGCUCAGACUAUCUCGGUGAUGGUGUUUCUCUUGUAUGCCAAGCUUGUUUUAAGAAAUUCUUCAACAGGAAUUAGGCAGGUCAAGAACUGUGAAGAAACCCAUCAGGAAUGGCAGUGUGUAAUAAGGGACAAAGGAGUUGGGAUUUGAUCCAGAUCUUCUGUCUCCAAGCACAGUCUUCAUUCUGUGGCACACAGCAGCCAACCUCAGGACACCGGUUCUGAUUGCAUGACUACAGAGGUUCAAGAGGCUCAAAAUGAACCCUGCAACCGGUUUUCGAACCCUGACAUGCCCUUGUAAUGACCCAUCCAUGCAUUGCUGGAGUAAAAGACCUAUGUAGUCCUAGAGGGUGGUCACCGUGGACCGUGGACAAGUUACUCACACUCUGGACCUAUUUCUUCACCCAUAAAAGGUUUCCUCACAGGAUGUCAUGAGGAUUAACUAGUUAGUAUAUGUAAAGCACUCAGACUACUGGCUGACAUAUUGGAAGACUCGAAUGUGUGGGUGUGAGCCUGAACCUGAAAGCUGAGUGGUCAUUUCUAAGAAGGGCUAGUAAUUAAGACAAUGUUGUUGACCCUGCGGGGAUGAAAAAGAUCCGUGCAAUCCAGUCCCUGCUCUCAGGAAGUCUGUAAUCUACAUCUGGAUGAAGUGGAAACAGACGAGGAUGACAUAGUUGUACAGGAGUACAAGAGCCAAGAGCUGGAGGUCAUUCCAGGCCCUGUGAUUGAGCUCCCACCACUGGAAAUGUGAGCGCAAGUGAUGAGGCUGCUAAGAGUGGGCAAGCAUUCUCCAGACCUCCCCUUUCACCUCCUCACCCCUAGAAGCAGACACUUCUGAGAUGGCAGAGUGGACAGACAGAAGCAGCUGGGACCCCUGAGUCACUGUUGGGGAAGAGUUACCAAGGUGAGCUGCCUGACUCACAUGAGACUGUGUGGCGUGAGAGGCAAAUAAGUGGGUCAAGCACCUGAGAUAUCAGGACUGAUUUGCCAAGGAGAGCUUGAUGACAUCCUGACAUAAAAUAAAGAGCAAAGGCAAGAUAUUAGGGAAGACUUCAUAGGAGAAGCAACGUUUAUACAAAGCAUGAAAACUGGGUAAGAUUUCCACAUGCAUGGUGGGCAAGGACAGUUCAGGCAGAAGCCAGAGGAGGUAGACAGGGCAGAGCUGGAAGUAGUUCAAGUGCAAGAAGGAAGGGUUCCUGUGUUGGGAGAUCAGGUUCGAAAGGUUGGUUGUGCUAUUUAAGGAAGGCCUCGCAUUCUUCCCAGAAGUGUGAGCUUUAUUCCAGAGGGAACAGACAGCAACUGGACAUUGCAAGCCAUGAUGCAUCACAACCAGAAGAGUGCAAAGGAAAGUUUGGGCAGGGGUGACACCGGAGUGGAGCCGGGGGUGAGACCAGUUUGGAGGUGAUGACAACUAUCAGUAGUCCAGCCUGGAAGGAAUGAAGGCCUAACCUAGAGCAAGGGUUAGAGCAACAUUUGGGAAGCAGAAAUUGAUAGACUUGCUGGCUCCUAAUUAGAAGGUCUCACAAAGGGAGAAAGAAGUUGAAGAUGAUGCUGAGUCUCCCUUCUGCUGAUGCUGUUCCCAGAAACAGGGAAGCAAGGACAAGUAACAAGCGUAGGAGGGAACAUGACAAAAGUAGGUUGGGACAUGUUAAAGCAGGAGAAGGGAGAGAAGAGGGUGAUAGAUGCUGAGAAAGAGAGGUCGCAGAAAUGGGGAGAGAAGCAGGACAGCACAACAUUCCAGAAAUCCAAGGAGGAGAGAAUUAAAAGGAAGGAAAAGCGGACAAGAGUGUCACAGCCAGUGGAGAGGUCUCAGCCAAUGGACCAAGGACUGAGAAGGGACCGUUGACUGCUGCGUUGAGGAAGUUCUUCAGAAGGUCAUUUCACAAGGUGCCUGAUACAGAAGGCAAAUAAAGAUGAUGAUCGGUGAUGAAAGUGUCAUGAAUGAUAGGAACACGGGAAUUCAUGUUCAAGGCAGAAGCAGCUGGCUAGCCUGCUCCUUUAACUCAACAGGUAGUUUCGAGCUCCAACUAUUUGUUAGGCCUGGUAUCUGAAGAAUGUAAUGAUGAGCAAGAUGUGCUUGCUGCCUCAAGGAGCUUGUAAUCCGUGGGGCAGAGAACAGACCAGGCAGUUUCAGUACCAUCAGGUAAGUGCCAAGAUGGGCUGUACAAGGUGCUCUGAGUGUACGUACAGGGGCCUGUUCUGGUUUCUGGGAGUGAGGGAAGGCUUCCUGGAGGAAGUGCUUUGAAAAUCUGGUCUGUCAGCAUGUGAGCCAGGAAGUGUGGGGGUUGGUCAGCCAAUGACACAGGCAGAGGGGAGCAGGCGGAGACAGCGUUCCAGGCCAUGGACUACAACAGGCGCAGAGGCCGGAAAGAGAGCAGCUGACACUUUCCGGGAACUACACAUAGUCUGGUCCUGGCUGGAGCUCGGUGCUAGGAAAUGCAGAGGAGAUCAAAUCCCAGGUCAACAGUGACGGGCCACGUUGAUAGGAGUUUCCCUGGAUGUGAUGAGAUGAGAAGGCGCUUGCCCUCCAUGAUCUUUCUCCCAAGAACAUAUAACCCUGCUGUAAUCACAAGGAAAACAUCAGACAAAUCUCAGCAGAGGAGCAUCCUGCAAAAUACCUGAUAGAUACUUCUCCCAAACUGACCUUAAGGUCAACAAAGACAAGGAAAUUGAGAGACUGUCACAGCCAGAAGGAGCCUGGGGAGACAUGAGAACUAAAUGUGACAUGGUGUUGGGUGGGAUCCUGGGACAGGAUCUUGGGUGCUGGCUUACUCUGCUGGUUCAGCCCUGGUCUCUCCCGUCCAAUUUGAAGGUGGCCCCCACCUGCCUUGACCUCUCCUCCUCAGCCACAGCACAGUCUUCCAGCUGCCACCCUGACACUAAUUGUCUGGCCCCUGUGCUUCCUAGAUCUGGAAGAUUCCUUCUAGAGCAACCCCCAUUUUAUGUGAUUUCCUUUUGUUUUAGAAAAGGUUUCUUUUCAGAAAAGUACGAUGCAUAAUCUAGCACACCCGCUUUUCCAUGAAACGGGAUGAACAACUGUUGGUAUUUCAUCAUCUUUGCUUACUGAAUUUUUCCUAUGUGUACGCCUUUUAAAAUUAUACAAUAUAUGCUUAGAUUCUUUCUUAAAAAGUAAAAUAUUGGGGUGCCUGGCAGGCUCAGUCAGUAGAGCAUGUGACUCUUGGUCUCAGGCUCGUGAGUUCGAACCCUGCAUCAGGUAUAGAGAUUACUUACAAAUAAAAUCUUUUAAAAAGUGUAAAAACAGGAGCACUUGGGUGGCUCAGUCGGUACAGCUCUUGAUUUCAGCUCAGGUCCUAAUCUCACUGUUGGGGAGAUCAAGUCCCACAUCAGGCUCUUCAAUAAUAGCAGGGAGCCUACUUGGGAUUCUCUCUCUCUCUCUCUCUCUCUCUGUCUCUCUCUCUCUCUUUCCAUCCCUACCCCUCUCACACAUGUACGCACAUGCACACUCUCUCUCAAAAUAAAUAAAUUUUAAAAAAUAAUAAAAAGAUAAAAAUAAAAAGUAAAAUAUUGCUGAUAGAAUUCUCCUGAGCCAACCUAAGUCUACUUUCCUUUUCCCUCUUUCUCCUAAACCAAUCACCAUCACUCACUAUCACUGCUUUGAUUUAGUCUUUUGGUUCUCUCUCAUACACGCACAUCCACAAACAAUAUAGGAUUCUCUUUUGUGUGUGUGUUUUCAUUUACAUAAAUGUUAUCACAUGCUGUGACUUUCCUUUUUCAUUCAACAUAAUGAUUUUGAUCUACAUCCAUAUUGAAACGUAUAAACCUAGCUUAUCCCUUUUAAGCAUGGUAUAUAUUCCAUCAAGUAAAUAAAGUGAAAAAAGUAAAAGUACAUAAAAGCACAUCUCACCUAUCCAUCCACUCUUGAUUAAGAUGUAGACAGGUUCCAGUUUUUCACCUCUGCCAUGAAUAUGCUAACGCAUGCCCCCUUCUGCACAUUAGAAGAGUUUUCUGUUGGGUAUUUAAAAGGACUGCCGAGUUCAAUCUUUGUAUGGCUGAGGGAUGCUUUGAUGAGCCCAGCUGCCUUUUCUUUUGGGAUCAUAGAGAAGGCCUCCAAUAAAGAACACUCCUCUUCCCUACUCAAGUUUUGAAUAAGCUGGAAAUAAAACACAGAGCCAAUAGAAGCCAAUAUGGCACUAUUGUCGCUGAUUGAGCCACAUUGGAGGAGGGAAUAGUGGAGAGCCACAUGGGCCUGCUAAGGAAAGCCCAUUCUCAAGCAGAGUGCCACCCAUCACAGACAGCUGGGACCAGGGCAGGAUCCCCUCACACCUGUCUUCCCAGCCACCCAGGGGCCAACCCCAGAGGAGCACCAGAAUGCAUGACCCCUUAGAAGUAGCCUACCCUCAAGAGGAUCAGAGCAGUCACUCCCCAGGCAGAGGAGAACCAAGAGGGUAUUUCUAGAAUAACGGGUGGAGUAAAAAAAGUUUCCCCUUAACAUGGUCACAGGCCAUUAGUCAGCCCUCGUUCAUUUGGUGGCCCUUGUGUCAGGAGCACAUGCUGGUCUAAUCAGGUGUGGCCAAGGAAGGAAGUGGCUCUCCAGAGAUAAUAUAUGACCACCCUGCCCAUACUAGGGGCUUUGGGUGAGGCGCCUUCCCUUAGAAGAGCUGUGACUGAGAAGAUACUACAUGUGGGGACUGUAUCACAAGCAGACUUCUUCAUGAUAUGCCCCUGAUUUGUUCAUUUCAGGGACAAGCUAUAAUGAAUGUGUAAUGAAACUUGUUUAGUUGAAGCUAUUCAGAAAUUACCUAUCCAAGUACAGUAUAGGCAAAGGUGAGCUUCACCCAAACCCCAGAGCCCCUACUUCACUUCCCACCCUAGAAACAAGACCAAAAAAAGUGAAUAUAUAGUUCUAUACGUUGACAUUUGAAGAAUAAUAACAGCGUCCUUUUACUGUCCUUUUACCUACUGUGUGCCAGGCAUUAUCCUAUAUAAAACAAUCUGAUCAGGAAGGUACUAAUCACCCCAUUUUGUAGAUGAGGAAACUGAGACCCAGGUUAACUUUCCCAAGAAACAACCGCAGCGGGCAAGGGGAAGCCCAGAAAAGAAAGUGGGAGAUAAGGAAGGAAGUCGCUGAAGGAACAGAACAGCAGCAAAGGAGCACCAACCAGGGUUGAGAGAAGCCAGGCACCAAGUGCUGCCCUAUCCCUAUAUGUAUCAUUUUGCCCUCCUUGGAAUUCUAUCUGUUACAAUCUAGUUUUGUUCAGAGUGUUUCAGUUCACAUUCUGAGUCCUUCAGGGGUAAUGAUCUCACACCUCAUUUGGACAAGCAAAAAAGAGAUUCUGUCACUGAGCUGAAACUGAGGCAAAGCCUAUUUGUGAUUUUCCCCUGCUCAGGCCUCUGGACAGCGGUUUUGAAGACAGAGUCUGGUUUCAGAAACUAAUAAGUCCCAGAUGAAUUUAAGAAAUAAUUUCGGGUCACUCAACAAUGACUCAAAGAUGAGCACUUAAAUUUUUUAUAAUUGUAAACAUAACAAUACAUGUUUAUUUUGAAAAUUUUGGAAAUCGCCACAGUGUAUGAAGGAGAAAAUUACAGUUGUUCCUAUGGCCACAAGCAAGAAACAAUCCUGCUAAAAUCCUGCUGUGUUCCUUUCCUUGGUGGAUGGGGGUAUAUGUGAAUAAUAAAUGACAUCAGACUGAGUGUACAUUUUAACUCUUUCUCUUUUCACCUAAAAAUACACCAUGAACACUUAGAAUAAGAAUGGCAAUAACUCGUAUUUGUUGUUUACUGCAUGCUGUACUUGGGUUAUCUCAUUUAAUUAAACAGAACCCCAAGAACAGUUUCUGAGUUUAUUCUGGUUUCAUAGAUGGAAAAGCCAGAGCUCAGAGAGGGCUGGUAAGGUCAUAGUCUUUCUCAGGAAUCCUUGUUGGUGCUGAGAUUUAUUUUUUUAUAUGUUUGUUAGCCACCUACAUCUCAUUUUAUUUCCUAUUUUUCAGCUGAGGAAUUCAUCUCUUUCUCAUUGCUAUUAGGAACUUUCUUGUAUUUAAGAUAUUAAUCUUUUUGCUCUCAAAUAGUUUUUCCU